UACGAAGGGGGCUAGCGUUGUUCGGAAUUACUGGGCGUAAAGGGCUCGUAGGCGGCCAACUAAGUCAUACGUGAAAUCCCUCGGCUUAACCGGGGAACUGCGUCUGAUACUGGAUGGCUUGAGUUCGGGAGAGGGAUGCGGAAUUCCUGGUGUAGCGGUGAAAUGCGCAGAUAUCAGGAAGAACACCCGUGGCGAAGGCGGCUCUCUGGGACGGUACUGACGCUGAGACGCGAAAGCGUGGGGAGCGAACAGG
rnacentral:rRNA from 1 species